CAGUCGCCGCGGGAAUACGGAGGGUGCAAGCGUUAAUCGGAAUUACUGGGCGUAAAGCGCACGCAGGCGGUCUGUCAAGUCAGAUGUGAAAUCCCCGGGCUUAACCUGGGAACUGCAUUUGAAACUGGCAGGCUAGAGUCUUGUAGAGGGGGGUAGAAUUCCAGGUGUAGCGGUGAAAUGCGUAGAGAUCUGGAGGAAUACCGGUGGCGAAGGCGGCCCCCUGGACAAAGACUGACGAUCAGGUGCGAAAGCGUGGGGAGCAAACAGGAUUAGAUACCCGUGUAGUCCCUGUCUCUUAUAC
rnacentral:rRNA from 1 species